CCUANGGGUGGCAGCAGUGGGGAAUCUUGCACAAUGGAGGAAACUCUGAUGCAGCGACGCCGCGUGAGUGAUGAAGCCCUUCGGGGUGUAAAGCUCUUUCGACGGGGACGAUAAUGACGGUACCCGGAGAAGAAGCUGCGGCUAACUACGUGCCAGCAGCCGCGGUAAUACGUAGGCAGCAAGCGUUGUUCGGAAUUACUGGGCGUAAAGAGUGCGUAGGUGGUUGGUUAAGUUUGGUGUGAAAUCUCCCGGCUCAACUGGGAGGGUGCGCCGAAGACUGGCCGACUAGAGUGUGGGAGAGGGACGUGGAAUUCCUGGUGUAGCGGUGAAAUGCGUAGAUAUCAGGAGGAACACCUGCGGUGUAGACGGCGUCCUGGACCAUUACUGACACUGAGGCACGAAAGCGUGGGGAGCAAACGGGAUUAGAUACCCCANUANUC
rnacentral:rRNA from 1 species